rnacentral:rRNA from 1 species
AACGAACGCUGGCGGCAGGCUUAACACAUGCAAGUCGAGCGCCCCGCAAGGGGAGCGGCCGACGGGUGAGUAACGCGUGGGAACGUACCUUUUGGUUCGGAACAACUCCGGGAAACUGGAGCUAAUACCGGAUAAGCCCUAACGGGGAAAGAUUUAUCGCCGAAAGAUCGGCCCGCGUCUGAUUAGCUAGUUGGUGAGGUAACGGCUCACCAAGGCGACGAUCAGUAGCUGGUCUGAGAGGAUGAUCAGCCACACUGGGACUGAGACACGGCCCAGACUCCUACGGGAGGCAGCAGUGGGGAAUAUUGGACAAUGGGCGCAAGCCUGAUCCAGCCAUGCCGCGUGAGUGAUGAAGGCCUUAGGGUUGUAAAGCUCUUUUGUCCGGGAAGAUAAUGACUGUACCGGUAGAAUAAGCCCCGGCUAACUUCGUG